UACGUAGGGUGCAAGCGUUAAUCGGAAUUACUGGGCGUAAAGCGUGCGCAGGCGGCUUUGCAAGACAGAUGUGAAAUCCCCGGGCUCAACCUGGGAACUGCAUUUGUGACUGCAUGGCUAGAGUGCGGCAGAGGGGGAUGGAAUUCCGCGUGUAGCAGUGAAAUGCGUAGAUAUGCGGAGGAACACCGAUGGCGAAGGCAAUCCCCUGGGCCUGCACUGACGGCUCGAUGCACGAAAGCGUGGGGAGCAAACAGG
rnacentral:rRNA from 1 species